CACAAAAAAAUGACUCCGUUCCACAAGCAAGAAACCAUUCCAGGACGCAGCGUGUGUGGAAGCCCUGUCC